ACUUGAAUAGCUUAUUAUAGAGUAUUACAUUGAAGAUGUAAGGGAGAUAUAUUGAAAUCUUUAAGUA
rnacentral:tRNA from 1 species